UAAAAUAUUAAGUCUAACUUCUUUUCUUAAUAAAAGGUUUUUUCUAAGCAAUUAAAAAACCUCUUGUUCUUUUCUCUAUUUUAACAUAAUUCAACUUUAGGAUGACUAAAAUAUGAUUGAAAAAUAUAAAAUAAGAGAGAAUAAUUAUUUGGAUCUUAGCUGUAAUCAUUUUGAAGGGAGGCACAUACCUCCAUUCCUUGGUUCCCUCAGCAGAAUGCAGUACCUCAAUCUCUCCAGGGCCAAUUUCUCUCAAACUGUUCCCACUCAACUGGGAAAUCUUUCCAACUUGCUUUCCCUUGACCUUAGCGGUAGUUAUUAUGAGUUGAAUUCUGGGAACCUGGAGUGGCUUUCUCGUCUUUCUUCUUUAAGACUCCUUGACCUGAGUUUUGUCGACCUUAGUGAAGCCGACCAUCCACUGGUCACAAGCAAUUAAUAAACUCCCUUCUCUCAUUCACUUGGAUACAAAAUUGUGGUCUCCCUCCCAUCCCUCCACUCACCAUUCCAUCUCUUUCCCAUGUGAAUUCCUCUGUCCCUCUUGUUUUCGUUGAUCUCUCUUCGAAUCAUCUCACUUCUUCAAUAUACCCAUGGCUGCUCAACUUUAGUACCACCCUCCUUCAUCUUGAUCUCUCUUUCAAUGAUUUAAACUGUUCGAUUCCGGAAUAUGCUUUUGGGAACAUGAGUUCCCUUGAAUAUCUUGAUCUCCACAAGAGUGAACUUGAUGAUGAAAUUCCGGAUACAAUUAGAGACAUGGGUUCUCUUGCAUAUCUUGAUCUCUCUGGCAAUCAACUGUGGGGCUCAAUUCCAGAUACAGUUGGGAAGAUGGUUUUACUUUCACAUCUUGAUCUCUCUUACAAUCAACUACAGGGCUCAAUUCCAGACACAGUUGGGAAGAUGGUUUUACUUUCACAUCUUGAUCUCUCUCGCAAUCAACUACAGGGCUCCAUUCCAGAUGCAGUUGGAAACAUGGUUUCUCUUGAAAAACUCUAUCUCUCUCAAAAUCAUCUUCAAGGUGAGAUUCCAAAAUCCUUGAGUAAUUUAUGGAACUUACAAGCAUUUGGAUAUGUUUCAACCAAUUAUUAAUAAUCAAAUCAUAAUUUCAACAUUAAAGAAAAAAGAAAUUUUAAUCGCAAGUUAUUAAUGAUCUGUUUCUCUCUUUCUAAAAAAACUAAAUUACUCUAAUAAAUGGGAAACUCUUUCUUUCUUGUUGUCAAAGUUUUUCACUUGGAGUUGUCUCACAUGCAGAUAAUUUUUGUGGAAUAUUUUGUUUUCAUCCAUUUUUUGCUUAUCUCAAGUUAACUUCAUUUUCUUCUUAGUGGUUGAUUUUAUAGGAUAUUAAGUCUAACUUCUUUUCUUAAUAAAAAGCUUUUUCUAAGCAAUUAAAAAAAAACUAUUGUUAUUUUCUCUAUUUUAACAUAAUCCAACUAUAGGAUAACUAAAAUAUGAUUGAAAAAUAUAAAAUAAGAGAGAAUAAUUAUAUUUUAAUUAUACUCGAUAAGUAAUAUCAAAUAUUUGAUUCACUUAUUAGAAAGUAGUAUUGAUCUCCAACAUCAUGAGAUUAACAUCCCAAUGAUUUUUUUUUUAUUUGUUAAAAAUUCUUAUCUUUCAAUACAUUACAAAAUUCCUUAAACACUUUAGCCCAAUGAUCUCAUGUUGUUUUGUUUUAGUUUUUUUUUCCUUCAUUUCCAGUCUUUUUUAAGGUCCUCCAUAGCUUGGAUUACACUUUGUGAGAAUUUACUCAAAAAGUCAUUAAGAAUCAAGUCCUAUCAAGUUUUUAAAAUCGUAAAAAUGAAAACUUUUAUAUUACCAUUCUUUUAUAAGUUUUUGUAUUUAUUAAUUUUUAUUUAUUUCUUUAUGAUAAAAUCUUUUAUCUAAAAUAUUUUUCAUGAAACAAUAAUUCUUUACUAUGAUUUUUUAAAUUUAAAAUUAUAAAAGACUUCAAUUCUUAUUAAAAAUAUUAUUUAUAUUAAUAUUUUCUUCUGAGCUCUUUCUAUCAGAACAAGUAGUGACUGUGUAGAUCCCUCAUUUUGGUUCUAGAUGAGACUUAAUUCUUUCUAGUCAUCUUUCGUUCUAUUUUCACCUUUUGAAUGGUGAACUGUAAAAGACAGGUGGCAAAAGAGGAUAUUAUGGUGGCAGACUAUGAGGGUAAGACACGUGGCAAUGAGGUUUUGGUUUUUCUGUUGGCUGUUUUAGAGAGAAUAGUGGAGUGUCUUGGUGGUAGAAAGAGUCGGGGGUUGUUAGAGGGCAGUAGAAAAUGUCCUCUGCAGGGAUGGCACGUAUCAGAGGGAUAUAUUUUCCUUUUGGGGUAUCUUGAGAAAAGGAAAAAGAAAAGGGGGAAGAGGAUUUUAUAGGGAGGUGAUACGCUGGAUCUCGAGAAGAGCUGAGGAAAAGCUGUGAAACAGAGAGAGUGAGUAGGCUGUGAGAGAGCCAUUGUUGAGAGAGUAAGCAGGCUAUUUUUGAGAAAAAAAGGGAUCAGAUUAGGAGCUCACCAGUUUUGUACUAUGCAUGCUUGUGGAAUCUGAGACCAUUUUUUUAUGUACUUUAUAUCUGGUUCUACUUUGGCUCCUUUGGCUCUGUUUAUGAACAACUUGUGCAUUUCACUUUUUAUGAAUAACUUGAAUAUGGAUCCAUCACUAAAUCUGAUUGUUAAAGAUCAUGCCCCAACUUUCUUUUGAUUCCACCCUAGUGUAGCUCAUUGACAAUCCAUGAAAGAGGGCUAAGAUUCAUUGAUGUUUCGUUUAUUUGUUCGUUUAUGCUCUGCCCCUGUUUUCGUUCUUCCCUAUAUUCCUCUAUUUCUGGUGUCUCUGGGUGAGGAUACAAUAACUUUGGUUAGACAGCCUUUGAGAAGUCUACAUAUUCCUGGUAUCUAUCACCAUUUUGUUGGCGUGUUGGAGAAGCAUUGCAUUGGACCAGGAUGAGAUGGUAAGAGACUUCCAGCUUCGGAGCAAUACCUUUGCUUUCUUGCUGAGUACCAAAGCUGGGACUGGAAAUCUGAUCAGUAAAAAGAAUAGUGAGCAUUUCGGGUUGAAUGAGGGUCCUUCGAGAGUCUACGGAUGAUGGCUACUUGAUUUUGGAGUUGGGGAACGAAUUUUCUCACUACCGAUGAUAUGAGUGUCAUACUAGUUGCAAAACUGAAGAGAAGAUUGGGAUGUGAAAUGUGGGCAAAAUUACAUUUGACUGGCAUGCAUGUUGACAUGGGUAUCAAGUUCCACUGGAGAUCAGGUAGAGGCAAUGGCCUUUCUAGGGGGUUUAAGACAUAAAAUGUGCUUUAAUGGCAUGAGAAUUUCUGGGUCCCUUUCAUCUAGUACUGUUUAUUUGUUAAUUUGGAGACCCAUUUUUGGUUUUGUUGAGGGUUCUGAGUUGAAGUUGGCCUGUGUUCAUGUGCAAAGUUUUGUUGGUAGAAUGUUAAAAUCAUUAAGAGUGACAGUUUACGCCGAGCCACAUUGUUCAGAAAGGAGAAGUGGUUUUGAAGGAAUCAAUCCCAUGAAGUAGUUGCCUCCAACAAAGAUUUGAGCAUUUUGAAGUCUGGGGCUCUGAGCAUUGUACACUUGAAGAAUGGCUUCAACAGGGCUCUGAGCAUUCUUGGGUUGCUAAAGUUGCCUCGGUUCAUUCCAGAUGUUUGUGGGUGGUGGGAGUAUGCUAGAGCUGAUCACAUGGGGGCAAUUUCUUUUGUUGUUUGUUUCUCUACCAAAUUCAAAGUGUUAAGCACACAAGGGUAACAUGGAGAUGUUUAUAUCCUCUGUAGUCUGUUAUGUAAAAGAGUCUGAACAGAGCAUAUGAUUGAGAUGCGGCUUCGCCAACAAAAUUAGUAUGGUGUUUUAUUUCUUUUCACAGAGCACCCACCUGCCCAUUCCCUGAUCGUGAGUGUUAUUCCUCUUCCUCGGGAUGUCUCGUAAAGGCCCUUCAGUCUAUGGCGUUGAAGACGGCAUUCUCAGUUUGGAGAGACUCCCAAUUUGCUGAUUGUAGUUAAGAGUUUCACUACAUAUAUAGUUCUAUCAUUCAACAUACUUAUUCCGGAGUUAGGAAUGUAAGGGAUAAGAGCUUAUUUCAGACUAUUUAUUCAUGUUCUGUUUAAGAUUUUUAAAAGAAAAACGAAUGUGUGGCAA